rnacentral:rRNA from 1 species
UACAGGGGGUGCAAGCGUUGUUCGGAAUCACUGGGCGUAAAGGGAGCGUAGGCGGAACUACAAGACAGGGGUUAAAGAUCCGGGCUCAACCUGGAGGAUGCCUUUGUGACUGUGGUUCUUGAGUAUGGUAGAGGUUGGCGGAAUUUCCGGUGUAGCGGUGGAAUGCGUAGAGAUCGGAAAGAACACCAGAGGCGAAGGCGGCCAACUGGACCAAUACUGACGCUGAGGCUCGAAAGCGUGGGGAGCAAACAGG